rnacentral:rRNA from 1 species
AGCCUGAUCCAGCAAUGCCGCGUGAGUGAUGAAGGCCCUAGGGUUGUAAAGCUCUUUUACCCGGGAAGAUUAUGACUGUACCGGGAGAAUAAGCCCCGGCUAACUCCGUGCCAGCAGCCGCGGUAAUACGGAGGGGGCUAGCGUUGUUCGGAAUUACUGGGCGUAAAGCGCACGUAGGCGGCUUUGUAAGUCAGAGGUGAAAGCCUGGAGCUCAACUCCAGAACUGCCUUUGAGACUGCAUCGCUUGAAUCCAGGAGAGGUCAGUGGAAUUCCGAGUGUAGAGGUGAAAUUCGUAGAUAUUCGGAAGAACACCAGUGGCGAAGGCGGCUGACUGGACUGGUAUUG